rnacentral:tRNA from 1 species
GGGGAUAUGGCUCAGUUGGUAGAGUGCUUGCCUUGCAUGCUCAAGGCCCUGGGUUCGAUCCCCAGCUCCA